UAGUCCACGCCGUAAACGAUGGUUACUAGCUGUUUGGACUUCGGUCUGAGUGGCUAAGCGAAAGUGAUAAGUAACCCACCUGGGGAGUACGGUCGCAAGAUUGAAACUCAAAGGAAUUGACGGGGGCCCGCACAAGCGGUGGAGCAUGUGGUUUAAUUCGAUGAUACGCGAGGAACCUUACCAGGGCUUAAAUGUAGAGUGACAGGUCUAGAGAUAGAUUUUUCUUCGGACACUUUACAAGGUGCUGCAUGGUUGUCGUCAGCUCGUGUCGUGAGGUGUCAGGUUAAGUCCUAUAACGAGCGCAACCCCUGUUGUUAGUUACCAGCACAUUAUGGUGGGGACUCUAACAAGACUGCCGGUGCAAACCGUGAGGAAGGUGGGGAUGACGUCAAAUCAUCACGGCCCUUAGUCCCUGGGGCUACACACGUGCUACAAUGGUAGGUACAGAGAGCAGCCAUGUCGCAAGGGCAGAGCGAAUCUAUAAAACCUAUCUCAGUUCGGGAUCGGGA
rnacentral:rRNA from 1 species